CUGGAAUUGCUAGUAAUGGCAGGUCAGCAUACUGCCGUGAAUACGUUCCCGGGCCCUUGUACACACCGCCCGUCACACCAUGAGAGUUGGAAAUACCCGAAGCCUGUGAGCUAACAGUAAUGAGGCAGCAGUCGAAGGUAGAGCCAAUGAUUGGGGUGAAGUCGUAACAAGGUAAC
rnacentral:rRNA from 1 species